UUGACCUCGAAUCAGGUAGGAAUACCCGCUGAACUUAAGCAUAUCAAUAAGCGGAGGAAAAGAAACCAACAGGGAUUGCCUCAGUAACGGCGAGUGAAGCGGCAACAGCUCAAAUUUGAAAUCUGGCUCUCGGGCCCGAGUUGUAAUUUGUAGAGGAUGCUUUUGGUGCGGUGCCUUCCGAGUUCCCUGGAACGGGACGCCAUAGAGGGUGAGAGCCCCGUCUGGUUGGA
rnacentral:rRNA from 1 species